CCUACGGGAGGCAGCAGUGGGGAAUAUUGCACAAUGGGGGAAACCCUGAUGCAGUGACGCCGCGUGAAGGAAGAAGUAUUUCGGUAUGUAAACUUCUAUCAGCGGGGAAGAAAAUGACGGUACUAGUCUACGAAGCCACGGAUAACUACGGCCCAGAAGCCGCGGUAAUACGUCGGGGGCAAGCGUUAUCUGGAUGUACUGGGGGUAAAGGGAGCGGAGGCGGCGAUGCAAGUCAGAAGUGAAAGCCCGGGGCUCAACUCCGGGACUGCUUUUGAAACUGUAUGGCUAGAGUGCAGGAGAGGCGAGUGGAAUUCCUAGUGUAGCGGUGAAAUGCGUAGAGAUUAGGAGGAAUACCAGUGGCGAAGGCGGCUUGCUGGACGGUAAAUGACGCUGAGGCUCGAAAGCGUGGGGAGCAAACAGGAUUAGAUACCCUAGUAGUC
rnacentral:rRNA from 1 species